AGAUGAGAACACUGAGGCACAGAGAAAUCAGGAGACCUGGUGGAGAGCUGGAAAGGCUGGACGUCGCUACCUAGAGAGAAUCUGUCCAUGGCAGAGUUUUUAAAAAUUCCAAGAAGGAGACCAAGUGCCCACAGGCCACUGUCUUCUAAGAGGGGACCCUGUGUGGUGGAAAACCACCUGCUUUACCAAAAUCUGAUCUUCCAAAAGAUGGCGGAAUGUGAUGGUCAUCAUUACCCCAAGUUCAUGUAUGAAGACACGAGGAUGUGACUCUGCUUUGUGUACAACCAGAGGGAAAUGGCCUUGAAAGAGCUGUCUGUUCCUGGUGCCCCGGGUCUUAUUCUUCCCCCGCUCACAGCACCCUCGUGUUAGCCUCUACCAGAACAAGGAAACUAUGUUGAGCAAGGCCACAAAUGAUGUGUCCAUUGCCAAAGCCAUUGGAUAGGACCCUUUGUUUGUGUGCUUAUUGUAGAAACUAUAUUUAUGCAGCAAUUGUUCAUUGUUUAAAAAAAAUAGAGAAGCACUUGUGGUCAAGAUGGUGUUAGUGUCGAUAAACAUUAGGGACAUGCUUUCUGCUACAAGCCCACUGCAGUCACAGAUAAAACCUUCAAUCUGAACGCGUGAAACGGCACAGCUGAGCUCACAGGGAAGAUCGUCACAUUUCAUGGAUCAGAAACAGGAGAGAACACUCAGCAGAGGGUGAGGACCAGUGUUGCUGGGCAGAAGCAGGCAGCGUGGGCAGGACGUGGGUUCCUGGCUCCGAGGAAGCAGGAACAGAGGCCACAGAGGCCAGGGCUGAGGGGAGGCUGGAAGGAGGACUGGUGAGCUCUCACUUAGAACAAGACUGACAAAAGAGUUCCUUCAAGCCUCUUUCAGAACUAAGCCUGUGUGAAGCUGAAUGACUAAGUGGGCAGUGACCCCAGUGGAACAGGAACAAGGACCUGCCUUGAGCCACCUGCUAGGGGAGUGGACCACCCACCUUGCCAAGAAGCCAGAGAUGCCAUCAUCAGCUGCAAGUCAGGUUGACAAGAGAACUGCAAACCCCUAGACAAGGAAAGGGGAAGCAGAGGGAAAGAGAAUGGAAUCAAGCUCUAAAUGUAUCUGCCAGCUAAGUCCAAAACACACCAAGAAAUCCAUCUCCAGGAGAUAAUAGGCACUGAAUCAACUGUUGACAACUUCUUCUCAUUGGGUGAAAUUAAGAUAAUAAAAAUUAAGAUAAUAAAAAUUAAGAUAAUAAAAAUUGUGACGUAUGCAGUCGAGGGGAGAAAUUGCUGAGAGCCAUUGCCAAGUAGGAAUGAC